ensembl:lncRNA AMZ2P1 AMZ2 pseudogene 1
GGGAUGUCGCGGGUGAGUGGUGUCGAGGCCUGUUGGGUCAGGGCGGUUCGCAGGUGCUGUCAGAGCUGGGCGGGGCAGCCGGGUCGUAGAGGCGGGCGCCAGUCGCGGUCGGUGGAGAGGGAUGAGGAUGUAGGAGGGACGGACGUGGCGGAAGCCGCGGGGACUGCGGGGGCGGAGUGCCUCUGGGGAGCCAGGGAGGCCUUUCCAGAGGCUCCUGGGGGAAGAAGAGGCGAAGCGAGAGUCCCCGGGGAAGCCCUACUCCACCCCCAGCCGGAGCCUGGGUUGUGCCUGCACGGACCAGAGCCCACAGUGCGAGUUGCUGUAGGCAACCAGCUAGGGUGGCCAACUUCUCCCGGUUGGCCCGAGAUGUUCUGGUUUUGGGACCACAGCGUCCCAGGCCUCCAGCCCACCACAGUGACCAUAUUGUGCGCCCCCUGCCCAUCUUCUCCCGCAGCUUCCCUAGAUUAGGCUUGGGAGGCAAGGGGAGGCCUCCUGACUUUUCUCACUGCCUUCGUUAAUAUAAAGAUGAAGGCACACUCCACAACUUCCUUCUGGCCAGGCCCAGACAUGUCUGUCCUUGUGAGAUAAAAGCUUCCAUGGGAGCCUUCCUUCCUAAUCAAGAUGCAAAUAGUACGGUAUUCCGAACAGACACUAAAAAUAGCUGUCAUCUCAAAGAAUCCAGUGCUUGUGUCACAGUAUGAGAAAGUAGAUGCUGGGGAACAGCGUUUAAUGAAUGAAGCAUUCCAGCCAGCCAGUGAUCUCUUUGGACCUUGCAUUCUCCAUCAGAUUGGAUCACCUCCCACCCUGAGGCCCCCCAAGACUUUGAACAGUUCUUCAGUCAUCCUUACAGAAAGAUACCCUCUCCAGACAAACGCAGUAUUUAUAUACGGUCCAUUGGAUCUCUAUGAAGCACCAGAAUUAUCAGUGAAGAAUAUAUUAAAUGGCUCACGGGCUACUGUAAAGCAUAUUUCUAUCGCUUGAGAGUAAAACUGCUAGAACCAGUUCCUGUUUCUACAACAAGGUGUUCCUUUAGAGUCAAUGAGAACACACAAAACCUACAAAUUCAUGCAGGGGACAUCCUGAAGUUCUUGAAAAAGAAGAAACCUGAAGAUGCCUUCUGUGUUGUGGGAAUAACAAUGAUUGAUCUUUACCCAAGAGACUUGUGGAAUUUUGUCUUUGGACAGGCCUCUUUGACAGAUGGCACUGGUGAGGUGGAUUGAUGAUGAAUCUUCUGGCACACCUGGAGCAACUCCAGAACACAGUCGUGAGGAUAAUGGGAAUUUACUGAAACCCGUGGAAGGAAGCCUUUAAGGAAUGGAAAGAGUGGAUAAUAAAAUGCCUGACUGUUCUCCAAAAAUAAGGACCUUCAAAUAGGAGUGAUUGAAAUAAAUGACUACUUGCAUGUUAUGCUUUCAUUUGGGUGGAAUACUUCAUCAGAAUAAACUAUUGAUCUUGUGCUGUGUCAAAGUAACAGACUAGAACCUUCUUUCAAGUACCUGAAUUGAAAUGAAACUCAUUUUGAAUAAUAAAAACUCUAGAAACUCUUUA